UACGUAGGAUCCGAGCGUUGUCCGGAAUUACUGGGUGUAAAGGGCGUGUAGGUGGGUUCUUAAGUCGGUGGUGAAAUCCUGCAGCUUAACUGCAGAAUUGCUUCCGAUACUGGGGACCUUGAGUACGGCAGAGGGAGAUGGAAUUCAUGGUGUAGCGGUGAAAUGUGUAGAUAUCAUGAAGAACACCGGUAGCGAAGGCGGUCUCCUGGUCCGUAACUGACACUGAGGCGCGAAAGCGUGGGGAG
rnacentral:rRNA from 1 species